GACAGAGGGUGCAAACGUUGUUCGGAAUUACUGGGCGUAAAGCGCGUGUAGGCGGCUAAGUAAGUCGGGCGUGAAAUCCCACGGCUCAACCGUGGAAGUGCACUCGAAACUGCAUAGCUAGAGUCCUGGAGAGGAAGGUGGAAUGCUUGGUGUAGAGGUGAAAUUCGUAGAUAUCAAAGCGGAACACCGGUGGCGAAGGCGGCCUUCUGGACAGUGACUGACGCUGAGACGCGAAAGCGUGGGGAGCAAACAGGG
rnacentral:rRNA from 1 species